CAUUCCCUGUUCCUGGUUAGCUGAGGAACCCCUGGCCAAGGGGUGCAAACCAGCCUGCCUGCUCACCCACUGCCAAAGCAGAAUGCUACCCCCACUUUCCUGCCAGACUCUUUCAUUUUCCACGAUCGCCUCCUCGCUCCACCACUGCCUGACACCUACAAGAGGGUCAACAACUAUGGUGUCUUUGGGGAUGUUUUUUGGACAGAACUGAGUCUUGUUCACAAUGAGAGUAUAUGUGUGGUGUUCCUGACUCCAGUGACGCUCCAGUUCAGGCAAGAAAAGCAGGAG